rnacentral:rRNA from 1 species
AUUGGACGCUGGCGGCAUGCUUUACACAUGCAAGUCGAACGGUAACGCGGGGCAACCUGGCGACGAGUGGCGAACGGGUGAGUAAUGCAUCGGAACGUGCCCGGUAGUGGGGGAUAACUGCUCGAAAGAGCAGCUAAUACCGCAUACGACCUGAGGGUGAAAGGGGGGGAUCGCAAGACCUCUCGCUAUUGGAGCGGCCGGUGUCGGAUUAGCUAGUUGGUGGGGUAAGGGCCCACCAAGGCGACGAUCCGUAGCUGGUCUGAGAGGACGACCAGCCACACUGGGACUGAGACACGGCCCAGACUCCUACGGGAGGCAGCAGUGGGGAAUUUUGGACAAUGGACGCAAGUCUGAUCCAGCCAUGCCGCGUGCGGGAAGAAGGCCUUCGGGUUGUAAACCGCUUUUGUCAGAGAAGAAAUCUUCUGGGUUAAUACCUCGGGAGGAUGACGGUAUCUGAAGAAUAAGCACCGGCUAACUACGUGCCAGCCGCCGCAGUAA